CACGUAGGCGGAUUGUUAAGUCAGGGGUGAAAUCCUGGAGCUCAACUCCAGAACUGCCUUUGAUACUGGCGAUCUUGAGUCCGGGAGAGGUGAGUGGAACUGCGAGUGUAGAGGUGAAAUUCGUAGAUAUUCGCAAGAACACCAGUGGCGAAGGCGGCUCACUGGCCCGGUACUGACGCUGAGGUGCGAAAGCGUGGGGAGCAACA
rnacentral:rRNA from 1 species